AUGAAUAUGUUAAAAUAGAGGGGUAGAAAAGUGAAGACGGUGGCUCUGGAUUUUCUGAGAGAGGGGUGAUGCCUAUGGGCAAUUCAUCAAAAUCUGACGGGAAGGAGGAGCAUCUUUUGACAGCUUUUGAAGUUGUGCAAACUAUUCUAGGCUUUAGUAGUUUUACUAUUGCGUUGAUUGGCUUGUG
rnacentral:sRNA from 1 species